rnacentral:misc_RNA from 1 species
AAUAAUUUUGAUUGGAUGAUUAUAUUCUAAUGUGUUUUUUGAAACCUUUGCCAUAUGGCAAUAGUACAUUUAAUGCGAAUUAAUUUAUAUAAAAGAUCUAGUUAUAAUUAGAUUUCUGAAAUGGCGCCGCAAUUGCGAAUUUUAUCUAAUGUUAUAGAGCGUUUAAAAAACAUAAAAAAUGGUGUAACAGGUCACUUAUAUGGUGUAAUGUAUGAUAAUACAUUAACAGUAUUAACAUUUAGCGUAAAUAUAAUGAAUAAUAUUGAAGUCAACAUAAAUCAUACAAUGUUACAAUUACAUAUGUCUGCAGAAGUAUAUCUUUGUGGUAUUUUACAUGUUGGUGAAUGUGAAGAAAAAUUUAUUGAUGCAUUUCAGGACAUUGAUAUCACAGAUAAUCCAUUAUUUUUAAAGUAUACACAUGAUAAUUUAAAGAUACAGGCAUAUUUUUAUAUUCAUUUAAAACUUGAAUCUAUUAAUGAUAUAAAAAUCAUUAAUGAAAGUGAUAUUUGUCAAGAAUUUAUUUACAUUCGAUUAAGAGGAAGCUUACCAUUAAUUGCACAGGAUGAUAAUAUAAUGGAAGUAUUAAAAGAAUCAAGAAAAAAUAUUGUAUCAGGAAAAAUAGGAAUUCAUUUUCCAUCAAAAAAUGCUUUUCUUUUCAAUAAUGAAAAUAUUGUAAAAGAUAUAUCUUUAAAAGAGAUUCUAAACAUAUCUGAUAAUUAUGAAGGAACUAGAAAUAUAAAAAAAAACAUGAAACCCAUGGGAAUAGUGAAUGCUGUAAAUGCUUAUAUACUUUUAAAAAUGUCUGGAGAUAAACAUUCUGAAGAUAAUAUUAAAUAUGCUCCAGUACUUCAAUAUAUAAAACGAUCAUUUAACAGUUUGGAAUGCAAUUUAUUUAUUGAUACAUUAUCUUUGGUCAAUAUUAAUGUAAGUUCAGCAGAUCUAUAUGGAAUAUUGGUAGAAUCUAUGUGUCGAAAUAUCAAAUUGGUAGAAAAAUGUUUUGAAAAUCAACUUCAAAGAUCAGAAACACCUAUAAAACUUCCAAUCCCCAUACAUUUUAAACCUCAAGGUUUCGGACAUUUGAUCACAGUAGUCUAUCCAAAUGGUUAUAGUGAUAAAGAAACAAUAGAAUAUCGUGAAAAUUUACAUAAAAUUUUGGGAUUAGAUAUGACAAGACCUUAUUUUCGUUGCGGAAAUGCUGUGAAAUUUUAUAAUGAUUCAAAAACAGAAAGUAUACUUAUAAGUCCUCAUGAAGCAAUUGUAAUAAAUGAUGAUAUAAUAAACAGCAAUUGGAAAGUACAAAUUGUACAAGGCUUAUAUAUAUAUUAUCAUUACAUGCAAGAUAAUUUUGAUGAUAAUGGAUGGGGAUGUGCAUAUAGAUCUCUACAAACUAUUAUUUCAUGGUUUAGAUUACAAGGUUACACUGAAAUACCAGUACCAUCACAUCGUGUAAUACAAAAAUGUUUAGUUGAUAUAGGCGAUAAACCUUCAAAUUUCAUUAAUAGUAAACAAUGGAUUGGUUCUACGGAAGUGAAGAAGUAUCAUCAUUAGCUCCAAAUCUACUACAUCAUUUUCAAACACAGGGUACACCAAUAAUGAUUGGUAAUUAACUUUUCUUAUAUUUGUUAAUAAAAAUAAUUGUCUAUUGUUUCUAGUUUCAUAUAUAAAUAAAUUGUAGGUGGAGGAGUAUUAGCACAUACAAUUUUAGGAAUCAGUUAUGAUCAAAUUACUGGAGAUGUUAAAUUUUUAAUCUUAG